rfam:Takifugu rubripes chromosome, Chr_17
AAAACGGCUCUUUUAAGAGCCACUCACUAUUUUCAAAAGCAACAUU